GAGAAAGUGAGAGAGAGAGAGAGAGAGAGAGAGAGAGUGUGUGUGUGGGCUCAGUGGCUUUUCCUGAAAUCAAUCAGCAGUCUGGCUUCACUUCUGUCUUCCCUCUCGUCUCCUGUGUGAAUAAAGAGAGAAACACCUUGGAGCAAAAAGAUGGAGGAUGGAGACGGGCAGGAUUCCUCUGAGGCCAAGGAAGGAAAGCAGUAAACAAAGUGACGCGUGACAUGAAGUGCCCUACUGGACAUCGAUCUACAGCACCUCCCGCCCUCUGGUCAACAACCUACAGUCUAUGCCAAGUGUUCCCUCAUACCAUUGGAGGCUCUGUAGGAAUGGAGGAGAUCGGAGAUCAGGCCCUUCUGGAUGGUGGCGUUCCCACUCAGAGUCUCCUUGUCCAGGAUGAGCAGGAAGCGGUGGAGCUCCAUCAGGAGCUGGUCCAGCACUGGAAGCACAGGCAGACAAGAGAGAGCCUCAGAGGUGUAGCAGAAUGAAUC